UAAGAGGUGGGAUGACUGCAUUUCUUCAAGGCCUGAAUGCACCUGGGCUCGCAGCUCAUUUUGAGGCAUGGCACUGACUGCUGAGUGCUCCUGAACAGCCUCUGUCAGAACACAGCUCUCUCGGAUUUCAGGGAGAGCAAAGAAGAAAAGUGCCCUUUUUUUCCUUACCUGCCUUCUGUUUUCCGUCUCCUUGGGCAGGACGCAUUUCAAUAUCUUAUCAGGUCUGUUGUUCUGAGAUCAGAUUGCAUUCCUUCAACCCGAGACAGUCAGCUGACCAAGAUUUGUUUGUGCUCCACAUUACAUCCAUAACAUCACUGAAAUACAACCUAG